UCCCCUGUAGCUCAAUGGCAGAGCAUCCGGCUGUUAACCGGAGGGUUGUAGGUUCGAAUCCUACCAGGGGAG
rnacentral:tRNA from 1 species